rnacentral:rRNA from 1 species
GACGAACGCUGGCGGCGUGCUUAACACAUGCAAGUCGAACGGUGACGAGGAGCUUGCUCCUCCGAUCAGUGGCGAACGGGUGAGUAACACGUGAGCAACCUGCCCCAGACUCUGGGAUAACAGUUGGAAACAGCUGCUAAUACCGGAUACGAGACGGAGAGGCAUCUCUACCGUCUGGAAAGUUUUUCGGUCUGGGAUGGACUCGCGGCCUAUCAGCUAGUUGGUGAGGUAAUGGCUCACCAAGGCGACGACGGGUAGCCGGCCUGAGAGGGCGACCGGCCACACUGGGACUGAGACACGGCCCAGACUCCUACGGGAGGCAGCAGUGGGGAAUUUUGGACAAUGGGCGAAAGCCUGAUCCAGCAAUACCGCGUGCAGGACGAAGGCCUUCGGUUGUAAACUGCUUUGUACGGAACGAAACGGUUCAGAUUAAUAACUCUGAACUAAUGACGGUACCGUAAGAAUAAAGCACCGGCUAACUAACGUGCCAGCAGCCGCGGUAAAACGUCUA